UAACCAUCCCCCUCCCUCCCCAUCUUACACCCAAAAUUGAAACCACAGAUGAAAAGUUCUUCACUUUUAGUUACUUGUUCGCAAUAUCCCCACACAAUCCGACCACAUUAUGCUUCUAUCCAUCAUCAAGUGCGGGUAUUAACUGUGUAAGAGUGAGAACUCUGAGAAGUUGAUAGCUAGGGCUUAUCCUCAACUCGCACUUUUCUCUGCAAUCUUGAUCGACGGGACUAAUCAAAGUAAAGCCAGGCGUCGAGCCCUGAUGAUAUUUUGUGCCACAUAGUUGAAUAAGAAUGUGAAGGUCUCAAAGCAUAAUGGUAUUUAAAUGGCAUGGUGUGUUUGAACAGUGCACCAUUGUAGAGGGUGCCGACACGAGGGAGUGAGAAGAGGGAUGAUACUACAAUUGAAAAGCAGAGUUCCUUUUUGUCUCAGAUAUGGUGCUCAUAGACAUAUAUGCUUUCUGUUGCCGGAUAUAAGCAUACAAAUUGUGCUAAUUGGGAUCCGGGAUCAAAGAUAAAAAAUUUGGAUUUUGAGGGUCGUAACGGAUCGCCACUGUUGAUAUAACGGUCUUUUAUGAGAUUAAAAGUGGCUGCGUACCAUGUGGAAAAGGCUUGGCAACGGACCAUUACCGAAGUCGUAACGAUCCGUUCUAAGGGCGUGGCCAGGAGGUGAUAAUUUCGUGUCCACAGGAGAUGGAGGUCGAUGCUUUCAGAAGACUUUUCCUCUUACGAUUUCAUGAAAGCAUUUGCUCGAGUUCGUACAGCCUGAUGCCAGAAUGUAGGGUACUUCUGAAUGUGGAGGGUUGUUGAAGGAAGAGUAUGCGCAUGAGGGUGCCUGAGCUCGACGGACACUGCAUGAUUUUGUUGAAAGCAAUUUUUUGGUUCAACUCGGCUUUGUUUGAAAAUGUAGA